AUUGAACGCUGGCGGCAGGCCUAACACAUGCAAGUCGAACGCGUGGCGGACGUGUGCGUAAUGUCUGGGAAACUGCCUGAUGGAGGUGGAUAACUACUGGAAACGGUAGCUAAUACCGUAUACCAUCUGAUGUUCCCAGAUGUGAUUAGCUAGUAGGUUGGGUAACGGCUCACCUAGGCGACGAUCCCUAGCUGGUCUGAUAGGAUGACCAGCCACACGGGAACGGAGACACGGUCCAGACGCCUACGGGAGGCAGGAGUGGGGAAUAUUGCACAAUGGGCGCAAGCCUGAUGCAGCCAUGCCGCGUGUAUGAAGAAGGCCUUCGGGUUGUAAAGUACUUUCAGCGGGGAGGCGUUACAUGCAGAAGAAGCACCGGCUAACUCCGUGCCAGCCGCCGCGGUAAUAA
rnacentral:rRNA from 1 species